rnacentral:rRNA from 1 species
CAGUAGCCGCGGGAAUACCAGCACCUCGAGUGGUCAGGAGGUUUAUUGGGCCUAAAGCAUCCGUAGCCGGUUGCAUAAGUUUUCGGUUAAAUCUAUGCGCUUAACGUAUAGGCCGCCGAAAAUACUGUGCAGCUAGGGAGUGGGAGAGGUACACGGUACUCGAUAGGAAGGGGUAAAAUCCUUUGAUCUAUUGAUGACAACCUGUGGCGAAGGCGGUGUACCAGAACACGUUCGACGGUGAGGGAUGAAAGCUGGGGGAGCAAACCGGAUUAGAUACCCCCGUAGUCCCUGUCUCUUAUAC